AUCAUUAGUCUCCAAUUGAAGGCUGGUAUGAAUGGUUGGACGAGGUAUUAACUGUUUCAAAUGAAUUUAUUAUAGAAUUUUAUUUUUUAGUCAAAAAGCUAAAAUAAAUUUAAAAGACGAGAAGMCCCUAUAAAUCUUUACUUUUUAAUUAUUUUAAUUAUAAAGAUAAAUUUUAUUAUAAUAAGUAAAAAAGUUUUAUUGGGGUGAUAUUAAAAUUUAAUGAACUUUUAAUUUUUAAAAACAUAAAUUAAUGAAUAAUUGAUCCAUUAUUAGUGAUUAAAAAUUUAAGUUACUUUAGGGAUAACAGCGUAAUUUUUUUGGAGAGKUCUUAUCGAUAAAAAAGAUUGCGACCUCGAUGUUGGAUUAAGAAAAAAUUUAGGUGYAGUCGCUUAAAUGUUAAGUCUGUUCG
rnacentral:rRNA from 1 species